rnacentral:tRNA from 2 species
UCCUCCUUAGCUCAGCUGGUUAGAGCAUCUGACUGUUAAUCAGAGGGUCGCUGGUUCAAGUCCAGCAGGGGGAGCAA